rnacentral:rRNA from 1 species
AGUCGAGCGGUAGAGAGAAGCUUGCUUCUCUUGAGAGCGGCGGACGGGUGAGUAAUGCCUAGGAAUCUGCCUGGUAGUGGGGGAUAACGUUCGGAAACGGACGCUAAUACCGCAUACGUCCUACGGGAGAAAGCAGGGGACCUUCGGGCCUUGCGCUAUCAGAUGAGCCUAGGUCGGAUUAGCUAGUUGGUGAGGUAAUGGCUCACCAAGGCGACGAUCCGUAACUGGUCUGAGAGGAUGAUCAGUCACACUGGAACUGAGACACGGUCCAGACUCCUACGGGAGGCAGCAGUGGGGAAUAUUGGACAAUGGGCGAAAGCCUGAUCCAGCCAUGCCGCGUGUGUGAAGAAGGUCUUCGGAUUGUAAAGCACUUUAAGUUGGGAGGAAGGGCAGUUACCUAAUACGUGAUUGUUUUGACGUUACCGACAGAAUAAGCACCGGCUAACUCUGUGCCAGCAGCCGCGGUAAUACAGAGGGUCGCAAGCGUUAAUCGGAAUUACUGGGCGUAAAGCGCGCGUAGGUGGUUUGUUAAGUUGGAUGUGAAAUCCCCGGGCUCAACCUGGGAACUGCAUUCAAAACUGACUGACUAGAGUAUGGUAGAGGGUGGUGGAAUUUCCUGUGUAGCGGUGAAAUGCGUAGAUAUAGGAAGGAACACCAGUGGCGAAGGCGACCACCUGGACUGAUACUGACACUGAGGUGCGAAAGCGUGGGGAGCAAACAGGAUUAGAUACCCUGGUAGUCCACGCCGUAAACGAUGUCAACUAGCCGUUGGGAGCCUUGAGCUCUUAGUGGCGCAGCUAACGCAUUAAGUUGACCGCCUGGGGAGUACGGCCGCAAGGUUAAAACUCAAAUGAAUUGACGGGGGCCCGCACAAGCGGGUUCCGCCCGAGCAUGUGGUUUAAUUCGAAGCAACGCGAAGAACCUUACCAGGCCUUGACAUCCAAUGAACUUUCUAGAGAUAGAUUGGUGCCUUCGGGAACAUUGAGACAGGUGCUGCAUGGCUGUCGUCAGCUCGUGUCGUGAGAUGUUGGGUUAAGUCCCGUAACGAGCGCAACCCUUGUCCUUAGUUACCAGCACGUAAUGGUGGGCACUCUAAGGAGACUGCCGGUGACAAACCGGAGGAAGGGUGGGGAAUGAACCGUCAAGUCAUCAUGGCCCUUACGGCCUGGGCUACACACGUGCUACAAUGGUCGGUACAGAGGGUUGCCAAGCCGCGAGGUGGAGCUAAUCCCAGAAAACCGAUCGUAGUCCGGAUCGCAGUCUGCAACUCGACUGCGUGAAGUCGGAAUCGCUAGUAAUCGCGAAUCAGAAUGUCGCGGUGAAUACGUUCCCGGGCCUUGUACACACCGCCCGUCACACCAUGGGAGUGGGUUGCACCAGAAGUAGCUAGUCUAACCUUCGGGAGGACGGUUACCACGGUGUGAUUCAUGACUGGGGUGAAGUCGUAACAAGG